AUGGCGCCCGGGCGCCGCCGCGCCGCCGCCGCGCCGCCGCCGGUGCCGUUCCCCACGCACGUGGAGCGGCACAGGGCCGUUGCGGUGAGCGCCGGCGUCAACGUCAAGGGGCAUACCCUGCGGCUGGAGCGCGACGACGACGGCAGCGGCCACCUGCUCGCCUUCUCCUUCGACGCCGACGCCCCCGGAAGCAUAACAGUUUACUUCUUUGCACAAGAAGGUGAUGACUGUGUCCUGAAGGGUACAAAGGAAAAUUUGCUCAAACCUGUCACAGUGACUUUUAAGGAAGGUCAUGGUCAGGAGUUCAGGCAACCAAGUGGAACUGGAAUCAAGCUCUCAGUGUUUGAGGAAUCUGACCUAACUAAGGUUGGGGAGGAUCGUGUAUUUCCUCUCGCAUUCAAAGUGGAAGUGGGUGUGCCAAGCAACCAAGAAUUAGAAAGGGAACAUGAUGCUGAAGACUCGAAGGCUUUGGUUAAAUUUGCUGUGUUUGUUAAGAAAGACAGUGCUGAAUAUGGGGUCAACAUUGUGCAGCAGAUACUGUGGGUAAAUGGAACUAGAUAUGUCUUGCAGGAGAUAUACGGUAUUGGGGACAGGAACACAGCUGACAGGAAUGUUAAUGAGGAUGAUUCUGGAAAAGAAUGUGUGGUUUGUCUAACAGAACCAAGAGAUACAACUGUUCUUCCAUGCAGGCAUAUGUGCCUAUGCAGGGAGUGUGCUCAGACAUUAAGGUUCCAGACCAACAAAUGCCCCAUGUGCAGGCAGCCUGUUGAGAGCCUUCUUGAGAUUAAGGUUGAUAGCACACCCAGGCAUCAUGAAGGACGAGAUCAGUAG
rnacentral:rRNA from 1 species